GAUGAACGCUGGCGGCGUGCCUAAUACAUGCAAGUCGAGCGACAGAUGAGGAGCUUGCUCCUCUGACGUUAGCGGCGGACGGGUGAGUAACACGUGGAUAACCUACCUAUAAGACUGGGAUAACUUCGGGAAACCGGAGCUAAUACCGGAUAAUAUAUUGAACCGCACGGUUCAAUAGUGAAAGACGGUUUUGCUGUCACUUAUAGAUGGAUCCGCGCCGCAUUAGCUAGUUGGUAAGGUAACGGCUUACCAAGGCAACGAUGCGUAGCCGACCUGAGAGGGUGAUCGGCCACACUGGAACUGAGACACGGUCCAGACUCCUACGGGAGGCAGCAGUAGGGAAUCUUCCGCAAUGGGCGAAAGCCUGACGGAGCAACGCCGCGUGAGUGAUGAAGGUCUUCGGAUCGUAAAACUCUGUUAUUAGGGAAGAACAAAUGUGUAAGUAACUAUGCACGUCUUGACGGUACCUAAUCAGAAAGCCACGGCUAACUACGUG
rnacentral:rRNA from 1 species